UGGGGGGAUCAAGUCCUCUGGGACUCUUCCGGAUUGAAGUUCGGAGGAAUACAUAUGCCUUUCAGAGUUUUACCGAACCUGAGUCCGGACAAACAUUCAUGCCCUUCGGGGCUCUGUCGGACUAAAAUCCGAAAAAAUAUUCUUGCCCUUCGGGGCUCUAUCAGAUUGAAAUCCAGAUUAAGAUAUUGUGUUCUACGGAGCUUUAUCAGACUGAAAUUCGAAUAAGCAUUCAUGUCCUUCAGGGCUCUAUCAGACUAAAAUCUAGAUUAAGAUAUCGUGUCCUACGAAACUUUACUGGAUUAGAAUCCGGAUU
rnacentral:lncRNA from 1 species